CGGAAAACCAUAGUGUGAUGCGUUGCGAUCAAGCCGACUCCUUUCCUUUGAACACGAAGUACCUGAAACCAAAACUGUAAACCGUAAGCACGAAGCUUAGUGAGUUCCCCCAUCAUACCACAUACCACACAAUCAUAUAACAUACAUAUACUGUCAGGCAUAUCUGGGUGCCCGACCUACCCCUUCGGUCCUCUCGACCGGAUACUGCCUAGCAUAUCUGGGUGCUAGCCUCCCCUUCGAUCCUCUCGACCGGAUACUGUCUAGCAUAUCUGGGUGUUGGGCUCCCCUUCGGUCAUCUCGACCGGAUAUUGCCUAGCAUAUCUGGGUGCCGGGCUCCCCUUCGGUCCUCUCGACCGGAUACUGCCUAACAUAUCUGGGUGCUGGGCUCCCCUUCGGUCGUCUCGACCGGAUACUGCCUAGCAUAUCUGGGUGCUGGCCUCACCUUCGGUAUCUUUCAACUGGUAACCGGGGACUAUUUCACCCCCUAACACUACCACAUAAAAAGCAUAGCAUAAACACAUAAGACAUUACUGCCUAGCAUAUCUGGAUGCUGGCCUACCACUUCGGUCCUGUCGACCGGUAAUCCGGGGACUAUCUCCCCUAUUGUCACUAGCACAUAACAUCAUAUCAUACUAGCACAUAAACAUAACAGGUAGUAGCAAACAUAAACAAUUAUCAUAAAGACAAUCAUCUAACAACAACUCCUACUGGUGGGCCAUCAUUGUGGCCGUAGACCCACCGCUACUGGAAGGUAACUCACCUCACAUUGCUGAAGUCCCGUAGACACAAUCCCACACUACUGAAGUCCCGCAGGCUGAACCCCAUCUAUUAGUUGACAGAUUCCCAAACUGUCAACACCAAAAUAACGCCCAAUUAAUAAUUGGGUUCCAACACAUAACCAUAAUUCAUACUUGAAUAAUUACUACAUUACCCCAGGCUUGGCUUAUUUAAGCCCAAGGCCCAAUCUGUAGGCCCAAAGUCAAUUAGGAAUCAAAUCCCAACAUAUGGCCCAAUUUUCCAAAUUGGGCCUAGGCCUAUACAUGGUCUCAUUCUAAGGCCCAACAUCAUAUACUCAUUAAGGCCCAAAACUUUGCCCAUCUAUGGCCCAAUUUUCCAAAUUAGGCCCAAUCCCCUUACAUGGGCCUUACCCUAGGCCCAUUAAAUUACUCUAGACCAUUUGCUUGAUCUUGGAUAGUCCAUUUAAUAACCCAAAUCAUAAAGGACCAAUAGAAAGGCCCAAAAAUUAAACCCGAGUGAAAUUAGGGUUUCACAUAAAAUGAUGAUUAGGGUUAAGUUUCCUACUUAACCCAUUAAGUCCAUUAUCGCUUAGAUUAAUCUCUGCCAACGUUUAUUAUUUAAUAUCUCAAGUUAUUAAAUAAUUCUUGUGUGUGUGACCCGAUUAAUUCUUAAAGUUAGGGUUUCAUUGGCAUUAGGGCUUUCCAAACCCUAAUUAGGGUUUCCAACCCAUAUACUAGCCCAUUUAUUUAUUUGUUGGGUUUUUAGAUCAAUUAGCGCUUUAUGGGGCCUAUUAAGCCCACUGAAAUAUUAUUAAGCCCCUUUGGGUUUUAUUAGGUCCAUUAGAGUCCAUUAAACUUCAUUAGGCCCAUUAGAGCUCCUUUGAGCCCAUUAGGGUUUCUAGCACCCCGAAUGUAACAUCCCAAAAAUACAGGCCAAAAAUUUCAUUUUUAAAUACGCCAUUAUAAAACCAACAAUGUAAUAAAACAUUUGUAACAUAAUGUCAUGUCAAAACCAAAGUAGAAAUAAUCAAACGUGUUAUCAUUAAGCAAUAUCAGAGUGUAAUCCCAAAGAUCUCGUGUGCGGAAAACCGUAGUGUGAUGCGCUGCGAUCAAGCCGACUCCUUUCCUUUAACACGAAGUACCUGAAACCAAAACUGAAAACCGUAAGCACAAAGCUUAGUGAGUUCCCCCAUCAUACCAUAUACCAUACAAUCACAUAACAUACAUACUGCCAGACAAUUCUGGGGUGCCCGACCUACCCGUGUCAAGCCAUUAUGGGGUGCUGACCUACCCGUGUCAACCCAUUCUGGGGUGCUGACCUAUCCAUGUUAAGCCAUUCUGGGGUGCUGACCUACCCGUCGGUCCUAACAACCGACCCUCGGGGACUAUUCCACCCCCUACUGCUACUAUCACAUAUAUCGUAACAUAAACAUACUAUCAGACAUAUUUGGGGUGCCUGAAUUACCCUUCGGUUCUAACAACCGAACACGGGGACUGGUCCCCUCAUACUACCUCUAUCGCAUAAAACAUUACAAGCCAGCAUGCAAACAUAUCAUCACAUACUGUCAGACGUAUCUGGGGUGUCUGACUACCCUUCGGUCCUAACAACCGAACUCGACUACUAUCACACACAACAUAUCAUGCUAGCAUAUAACAUAUCAAGUAGUAGCAAGCUUAGAUGAUAUCACAAAGACAAUCAUCUAUCAUACGUCUCCUACUGGUGGGCCGACAUUGUGGCCUUAGACCCACCGCUACUGGAAGGUAACUCACCUCACACUGCUGAAGUCCCGUAGACACAAUCCCACACUGCUGAAGUCCCGCAAACUCAACCCCAGCUGCUGGAUGACAAAUUCCCGAUCUGUCAAUAUCAAAACAUCACCCAAUUAAUAAUUGGGUCCCACUACAUAACCAUAAACACUUACUUUGGAUAAUAACAUUACCCCAAGCUUGGCUUAUUCAAGCCCAAGG
rnacentral:lncRNA from 1 species